rnacentral:rRNA from 1 species
GACGGAGGGGGCGAGCGUUGUCCGAAUUUACUGGGCGUAAAGGGCGCGUAGGCGGGUAGCUAAGUCCGCUGUCAAAGCCCGGGGCUUAACCCCGGAAGGUCGGUGGAGACUGGUUUUCUUGAAGCUGCCAGGGGGAGAUGGAAUUACCGGUGUAGCGGUGAAAUGCGUAGAUAUCGGUAGGAACACCAGUGGCGAAGGCGGUCUCCUGGAGCAGACUUGACGCUGAGGCGCGAAAGCUGGGGGAGCGAACGGG